ensembl:lncRNA
AUGUCGGACCUGGACACCCUCAUCGUGACCUUUCAGACCCAGCUGUCGGAUGUAAUGGAGACCGUAACAAAGACAGCCAUGUACGAGGUCACGAGGUUGGUUGAGGAGGGCUUCUUGGAGGAGAUGCAGCGCAGGAACCAGGAGCUGGAGUCCCUGAGGAUGCAGCUGCGACGGGCUGAGACGAAACUAAGUGACCAAGUGGGGAAAGACGCAAGAACAACCGGGAGGUGCGUUGGGUGUUCAAAGGGUGAUGUGCCACUGCGCGGUGGUGAUCCUGCAGAAGGAAGCCCCACAGAACAGCCAGCUGAUAUCUUCAGGGCCUGCGUGAUCAAAGAAGAAGGUGACUCUAUGGAAAGGUGGUCAAUGUGCUGCGCACAGGAAGUCAUACCAGAGUCGGAAGACAAUCCUACAUGCACUUUUAGUCCUGAGAGGAAGCGUCUGACCGAAGAGGAGGAUGCGUUGCCGGCGGUGGAUGUGAAGGAUGAAGAUGCAAAUAAGCUGUCUGGUUUUUCUGUGCAUUGGAGGGCUCCUCUUGAUUGUGAGUAUUGUGCACUGGCCAUUGUUUUCAAGUUUGAACAUCUAAAUGACAUAUAUUUAUAUAUGAUAUAAGAUAAUAUCUUAAACACUUGAGGAAUAUCAGUACUACUACUAUUAAAAUAAAUAACAAUGGGACUGAAAAGAAACUGUAUUUGUAGUUUUAAAAUGUUUGACAAA